rnacentral:rRNA from 1 species
AGCGGCGGACGGGUGAGUAACGCGUAGGAAUCUACCUAGUAGAAGGGGAUAGCCCGGGGAAACUCGGAUUAAUACCGUAUACCUCCUUAGGGAGAAAGAAGGCCUCUCAUUGAAGCUUUCGCUAUUAGAUGAGCCUGCGUAAGAUUAGCUUGUUGGUGAGGUAAAGGCUCACCAAGGCGACGAUCUUUAGCGGGUCUGAGAGGACGAUCCGCCACAUUGGGACUGAGACACGGCCCAGACUCCUACGGGAGGCAGCAGUGGGGAAUAUUGGACAAUGGGCGCAAGCCUGAUCCAGCCAUACCGCGUGUGUGAAGAAGGCCCUAGGGUUGUAAAGCACUUUAAGUUGGGAAGAAAAGUUAUUGGUUAAUACCCAAUAGCCGUGACAUUACCAUCAGAAUAAGGACCGGCUAAUUCCGUGCCAGCAGCCGCGGUAAUACGGAAGGUCCAAGCGUUAAUCGGAAUUACUGGGCGUAAAGCGCGCGUAGGUGGUUUAUUAAGUUGGAUGUGAAAUCCCCGGGCUCAACCUGGGAACUGCAUCCAAAACUGAUUCACUAGAGUACGAUAGAGGGAGGUAGAAUUCACAGUGUAGCGGUGGAAUGCGUAGAUAUUGUGAAGAAUACCAAUGGCGAAGGCAGCCUCCUGGAUCUGUACUGACACUGAGGUGCGAAAGCGUGGGUAGCGAACAGGAUUAGAUACCCUGGUAGUCCACGCCGUAAACGAUGUCAACUAGCUGUUGGGGAACUAUGUUCUUCAGUGGCGCAGCUAACGUAGUAAGUG